rnacentral:rRNA from 1 species
GACGAACGCUGGCGGCGUGCUUAACACAUGCAAGUCGAACGGAAAGGCCCUGCUUUUGUGGGGUGCUCGAGUGGCGAACGGGUGAGUAACACGUGAGUAACCUGCCCUUGACUUUGGGAUAACUUCAGGAAACUGGGGCUAAUACCGGAUAGGAGCUCCUGCUGCAUGGUGGGGGUUGGAAAGUUUCGGCGGUUGGGGAUGGACUCGCGGCUUAUCAGCUUGUUGGUGGGGUAGUGGCUUACCAAGGCUUUGACGGGUAGCCGGCCUGAGAGGGUGACCGGCCACAUGGGGACUGAGAUACGGCCCAGACUCCUACGGGAGGCAGCAGUGGGGAAUAUUGCACAAUGGGCGGAAGCCUGAGGCAGCAACGCCGCGUGCGGGAUGACGGCCUUCGGGUUGGAAACCGCUUUCGCCUGUGACGAAGCGUGAGUGACGGGAAUGGGGAAAGAAGCACCGGCGAACUACGU